ACCCCGCGCAUGUCCGGGUUAUGACAUGUACCUCCCUGUUGGACUUGGCCCGAGCUUCGGCUCGGGUCUUUUUU
rnacentral:ncRNA from 1 species